GGCGGAGGGAAGCUCAUGGGUGGGUUUGGUCAUGCUACCCCAUGUCCCCUGGGGAGGUCUGAGACUAGGGCCAAAAGUCACCCUAAGGGGCCAUCUUUGAGCUUUAGGGAGAUGAGUUUCCAAAGGGAAAAAAAAGAAAAGUUCAAGGUUUCCUAAACAGGGUUCCUCUCCGUGAACACAACUCACCAAGUGCGCAGGUGUCACUUGGCCACC
rnacentral:RNase_P_RNA from 2 species